GGCUUGUAUGGCAAACACAUAAUAUUCCAUUGUAUUGUGUAUCAAUAUGGUUAUAAUAUUAAACUGGUUUGAUUGUACUAUUGGCAUAAAUAAACUGCAGUACAAAUAAACAGUUUUGGUUCAAAUAUGGAUUGCCAGUUGUGAAGCAACAGUUUUUGUUUUCCAUUAUGAACAAUAAGAAACAAAGUACAAAUAUUAUCUAUUUUUAAUGAUAGCAUAAACAAAAUAAAUUAGAAAUAACAGUAAAAAUGGUUUAAACACAUUUAACAACAAAUAUGGUAUGACAUUAUACAGGAUUUCUGUUUCAAACAAAAAUCAUCUAUCAUGACCAUUAUAAUCAAACAAAAUUUCAGAAACUAACCUUGUUUUUCCCUUCAAGUAUUAGUUCUUUGAGUACAGUACAUUAAGGAUAUUACAUUUUAAUGGUAAAAAUUCAAGAUUUUUUUGUAUUUGCUCAGUUUAUGACAGCAAAUAUAAUUUCUGAACUACAUGUUAAUAAGUUUAUCAUUAAGGUUGCAGUCAAUACAAAAUUUAUACUUAUUCAAGUUACAACUAAAUUACAUAAUACAUGUAUGUUAUAAAUAAAAUUCAAUGUUUUGAAUGAUUUCUGAAAACUAGUCACAACAGAACAGUUUUUUCAUCUUUUUUGUUGCGAAAAAAAACAACAUGAAAUAGUUAUAAGAUCUAAAAAGACUUGCAAAAUUCAUACAAUACUGCAAUAAAUCUUAUAGCCUAAACAAGCUUAGUACCAUUUUGAGUAAUACAUCAAAAUAAUAACAAAUUAAGAUACGGUAUACUCUAUUUUUUCUCUUAUAUCGAAACAUAUCUUAACUUAGCUAUAUAAUAAUGCAAAAUGUGUUAGAAAACAUUAUUUUGUGACAGUUCUGACCUAGUGAGGUCAUCUUGACCCUACAAUAAAUUAACUCAUCAAUGAAGACCACACUCCAAUGUGACACAAUUGUUUGACCUUCAAAAGAAAGGAAAUCGUCUCCUAUUGAAAGAUAUAUAUGACAUCUCCUUUUUAUUUCUACGAUUCUAUAUGUAAAAACUGAAUAUUAAUUUAUAUGUGCAAUAACAAACAAUAGAAAUAAAAAUAAUACUGAUAUACCAGUUUCAAUCAGAGUACUACGUGUGAUGUACUUAUAGCGAGAAAGGCAAUCGAGUUGAGAUGAUCAAUGAUAAUCUUUAUCACUAUUUUACCUAUGACGACGUUGUCAAUUUCAUGUCAAUUUCAUUAGCAACGCCAUAUGCCUGCUUAGUUUCUAGCGAUAAUUUUCCGUAUCAAGUGAGUAGCAUGAUAUGAAAAAUUAUCACAAAAAAAGAUCAAUGGAAAAAAUGCACAAAAUAGUGAUAAAAAUAAAUAUCAAUGUCAUUGGAAUAAAAUCCUUUCAAUCUUAUAGCAUUCUAUGUAAAAUGGGAUGAAGAGGCAUGAGUAAUGGACUUUACAAUGUUAUGAGAAAUGGAUAAAUGUUUUCUUUUAUGAAAUUGAAAUAAUAAUAAAUAAAUUAGCAUAUACAAUAGGAAAUCCUUAAAUCUAUGAAUUAUGUCAAUUUUGUAAAAAUACACACUGUUCUAUAGCAUUUGUUUCCAUAUGAAGAGAAUAUUGAUGAUUCUUUUACAAUAAAAUUGAGAAUGGAAAUGGGGAAUGUGCCAAAGAGAAAACAACCCGACCAUAGAGCAGACAACAGCAGAAGGUCACAGGUCUUCAAUGCAACAAGUAGUAUGUAAAAUUCAAGUACAUUUUGUAAUAGAAAAAGAAUCAAAAUUUUGAACACCAAAAAUACAUCCAUAAUUCUUUGUAUUCAAAUAAUAUUACUCUACUGAUAAAAUAUUUUAAAAUAUAUUUAACAUGUUAUUUUGAGUAUAAACUUGAAAUAUGCAAAUUGGUUAAAAGUACAAGACAUUCAUGAAAUGACUGGCAGUGAAUUCUAAUUUUUUCAUAUGGAUGUUUACUUUGUAAAACUGUAAUCAUGUUAACAAAAUAUUCUAUUAUCUCAUCAUAAAAUGACAAUGUAUCUUCUAUGAACAAGACUAGAAAUUAUUAAUGCUGCUUGAUAUAAGGAGGAUUACAAACUAUAUAUUUUUCACAUUUGACAAUAUAAUAAUUACAAUUACACUUGUCUUGUGUGAGUAUUGAUCACAAUCUAUAGACAUCAUUGAGAAAGUCCCCAACAGAAUUUCCAAGCAUAAACAUAUACUGAUGAAGAGUCUUCACAUUAGUAUCAAAGCUUAUAAUUUAAUAAACAAAAGAAAAACUUAAAAGACUAUGACUUUCAGCCGAAGGCUUAUAACAGUUUCGUUAGAGCAUAAAUUAUGAAAACUUUAAAAGUUAAAAAGCAGAUUUGUAAAAAGUAAUGAUUUAUCUCAAACUUUUAUGAAUGAAUAAUAGUACACAACUAUGACAUAGUUAAACUUUGUUCAACAUAGCUGAAACAGGAAUGCACAAUUUUCAAGAAAUAUUUAUACACAAAGAAAUAAAACUUUGAAAAAGGCUUUAAAUUCAUAAAAACGCAAUAGAACACCAUCUUCCUUUUUUUGAUAAUAUGUACUUAAUAACCAAUUAUAACAUAAAUAUGGCAAGUAAUCUUAAGUUGGGUUGUUAAGUACAUUUCUUUUCACAAAGCACCACUUGAUCAAUAUUAACAACUACAGUUUGUUGUUUAUCAUACAUUCUUUAGUAGAAUUUUCAUCAUCUUCUAGAUCUGUAUUACAAAUGUCUGGGGGGAAAUGUACAUUUGUCACAUAAACUGCACCAAGUACUCUUAAGCUUGUGGUAAAAGUUUAAGCAUUCAUGCAAUACCACAACUUAACACUUUUGUGAAUGCUGUAUUAUAUCAAAACUUUAGUGAAUGCUAUUUAAUAUCAACACUUCAGCACAGUGAUUAUCAAAUCGUCACUGCGUUUGUUACAACACACUUCACGACAACUUGAAGCUGAUCAUUUCGGAAGGAAUAUACCAACCCCUCAAUCUUCUUUUGGAUUUCUACUUUUUGUUUACUGCAUUGAUCCCUGGAUUCUGAUCUUUCCUUCUCAGAAGUGUUUUUUUAAUAAAUAUUUGGAUUUGAAGAUGAGGAUUUUUUGUUUAUUUAGAUCAAAGGAAUCUGUUUCAAUUCAGUGUUGAAGUAAAUUGUUUUACCCUUGUGUUAUUGAGUAAGAAACAAUAUCGUUGAUAAAAUGAACACAUCCGGGAUACUUCUUAAUGCCUCUAAGAAAAUGUCCAUACCAAACAUUUAAUUCUAAUUAUUUCCAAGACUACACUUACUUUGCUGCAAAAAAAAAAUUAAAAUCAUAAAUUAAAUGAAAGAACUGUUACCCUAACUAUCA
rnacentral:lncRNA from 1 species